AUUGGUGCUUGCAUCAUGAUUUACAUUUGAGUGAGUGGCGAACUGGUGAGUAACACGUGGGAAACCUGCCCAGAAGCGGGGGAUAACACCUGGAAACAGAUGCUAAUACCGCAUAACAACUUGGACCGCAUGGUCCGAGCUUGAAAGAUGGCUUCGGCUAUCACUUUUGGAUGGUCCCGCGGCGUAUUAGCUAGAUGGUGGGGUAACGGCUCACCAUGGCAAUGAUACGUAGCCGACCUGAGAGGGUAAUCGGCCACAUUGGGACUGAGACACGGCCCAAACUCCUACGGGAGGCAGCAGUAGGGAAUCUUCCACAAUGGACGAAAGUCUGAUGGAGCAACGCCGCGUGAGUGAAGAAGGGUUUCGGCUCGUAAAACUCUGUUGUUAAAGAAGAACAUAUCUGAGAGUAACUGUUCAGGUAUUGACGGUAUUUAACCAGAAAGCCACGGCUAACUACGUGCCAGCAGCCGCGGUAAUACGUAGGUGGCAAGCGUUGUCCGGAUUUAUUGGGCGUAAAGCGAGCGCAGGCGGUUUUUUAAGUCUGAUGUG
rnacentral:rRNA from 2 species